rnacentral:rRNA from 1 species
UACGGGGGGGGCAAGCGUUGUUCGGAAUUACUGGGCGUAAAGGGCUCGUAGGCGGCCAACUAAGUCAGACGUGAAAUCCCUCGGCUUAACCGGGGAACUGCGUCUGAUACUGGAUGGCUUGAGUUUGGGAGAGGGACGCGGAAUUCCAGGUGUAGCGGUGAAAUGCGUAGAUAUCUGGAGGAAUACCGGUGGCGAAGGCGGCAUCCUGGACCGGCAUUGACGCUGAGGCACGAAAGCGUGGGGAGCAAACAGG